rnacentral:rRNA from 1 species
UAUUAAAGGGCCGCGGUAAUUUGACCGUGCUAAGGUAGCAUAAUCAGUAGUCUUUUAAUUGGAGGCUUGUAUGAAUGGUUGGAUGAGGGACAUACUGUCUUUCUCUUAUUUUAAGAAUUUAACUUUUAAGUGAAAAGGCUUAAAUUUUUUGGUGGGACGAUAAGACCCUAUAAAACUUUAUAUAGUUCAUUUUUAGUUGGAAAUUGUUUUUAACUUGUCUUUAGGUGAUCUUUAUUUCGUUGGGGAAACGUUGAUAUAAGCUGUAAUUGUUUAUAAAAUGUAAUAUAAGUGUUUAGAUUAUGAUCCUUUGUUAGAGAUUAAAAGGUUAAGUUACUUUAGGGAUAACAGCGUAAUUUUUUUUGAGAGUUCUUAUCGACAAAAUUAGUUGCGACCUCGAUGUUGAAUUAAAGUUUUAGGCUGGUGUAGCCGCUGGUCUGGUG